rnacentral:rRNA from 1 species
UACGAAGGGGGCGAGCGUUGUCCGGAUUUAUUGGGCGUAAAGCGUGCGUAGGCGGCUGCGCAAGUCGGUUGUGAAACCCCGGGGCUCAACCCCGGAACUGCAUCCGAUACUGCGUGGCUAGAGGUAGGUAGGGGAGAUCGGAAUUCCUGGUGUAGCGGUGAAAUGCGCAGAUAUCAGGAGGAACACCGGUGGCGAAGGCGGAUCUCUGGGCCUUACCUGACGCUCAGGCACGAAAGCUAGGGGAGCGAACAGG